CUGAGGGUAGACACAACAAGCCGUCAUUUUCUUGGUGGAUAAUAUACUGUUAUCUUUGAUUUGACAGUUGGUCUGUGAAAGUGAGCCUGUUAUCAUUCGAACCCGGACAGGCCUGGACACGACUCGAUCUAUUUGUUUACCAGGAGAAAGUUACGAUCAAUUAUUUUUGGUAAUGUGAUAGUACAACUACACCAUUCAAACAAGCCAUUCAAGAAGUACAGCCAAGUCAGAAAUGUUGGGGUGACCAGGUACAAUUCUUGGAGUUAGCCACACAAUAAAGGAUAUAACAACACAUACCUAUACCAUUCUAGUCAGCCUGUAUUGUCUGGUAGCUAAUCAUACUGAGACACGUUAGAGUAAUCGAAUGAAGUGCGAAUCGAGAAGGUGAGAAAAUCUGUGAUACGUUACCGAGGACAUGUUGACAACUCAUUAAUAAUAUCGACAAAUUCCAGCUUUGAAUACUGUAUAUUAUACAGCUUCAUUAUACAGUGUAAUAUAAAUUUACGUAAUUUCUCAUUGAUUAAACACCUUUUAUAUUG